GGGGCGAGCGUUGUCCGGAUUUAUUGGGCGUAAAGAGCUCGUAGGCGGCUCAACAAGUCGGCCGUGAAAGCCCGAGGCUCAACCUCGGGAUGCCGGUCGAAACUGUUGUGGCUAGGGUCCGGUAGAGGAGAGUGGAAUUCCCGGUGUAGCGGUGAAAUGCGCAGAUAUCGGGAGGAACACCAGUAGCGAAGGCGGCUCUCUGGGCCGGCACCGACGCUGAGGAGCGAAAGCUAGGGGAGCAAACAGGAUUAGAUACCCUGGUAGUCCUAGCCGUAAACGUUGGGUACUAGGUGUGGCGGAUUCAUUGACAUCUGCCGUGCCGAAGCUAACGCAUUAAGUACCCCGCCUGGGGAGUACGGUCGCAAGGCUAAAACUCAAAGGAAUUGACGGGAGCCCGCACAAGCGGCGGAGCAUGCGGCUUAAUUCGAUGGUACCCGAAGAACCUUACCUGGACUUGACAUAAUGGGAAAAACCCUAGAAAUAGGGUGUGCGUAAGCGUCCAUUACAGGUGGUGCAUGGCUGUCGUCAGCUCGUGUCGUGAGAUGUUGGGUUAAGUCCCGCAACGAGCGCAACCCCUGUCCUAUGUUGCCAGCGGAUAAUGCCGGGGACUCAUGGGAGACUGCCGGGGACAACUCGGAGGUAGGCGGGGACGACGUCAAGUCAUCAUGCCCCUUAUGUCCAGGGCUGCACGCAUGCUACAAUGGCAGGUACAGAGGGCAGCGAUCCCGCGAGGGUGAGCGAAUCCCUCAAAGCCUGUCUCAGUUCGGAUCGGAGUCUGCAACUCGACUCCGUGAAGCCGGAGUCGCUAGUAAUCGCGAAUCAUCAAAGUCGCGGUGAAUACGUUCUCGGGCUUUGUACACACCGCCCGUCACAUCACGAAAGUUG
rnacentral:rRNA from 1 species